GCCGUCGGCAUCUGGCACUGUGGUUCCUGCAUGAAAACAUUGGCCGGCGGGGCCUAGACCUACACCACCACCUCUGCAGUCACAAUGAAGUCUGCC
rnacentral:miRNA from 1 species